AGGAGGAGAGGAUCCUAAGGCCGGCGGGAGAAGUGUUGUUAAGGAACUCGGCAAAAUGACUCCGUAACUUCGGGAGAAGGAGUGCUGCGCAAGCAGCCGCAGAGAAAUGGCCCAAGCAACUGUUUAGCAAAAACACAGGUCUAUGCGAAACCGAAAGGUGAGGUAUAUGGGCUGACGCCUGCCCGGUGCUGGAAGGUUAAGGGGAGAGCUUAGCGCGAGCGAAGGUUUGAACUUAAGCCCCAGUAAACGGCGGCCGUAACAAUAACGGUCCUAAGGUAGCGAAAUUCCUUGUCGGGUAAGUUCCGACCCGCACGAAAGGCGUAAUGAUUUGGGCACUGUCUCAACAACACACCCGGUGAAAUUGAAAUACCAGUGAAGAUGCUGGUUACCCGCGCCAGGACGGAAAGACCCCAUGGAGCUUUACUCCAGCCUGAUACUGGGAUUCGGUAUUGCAUGUACAGGAUAGGUGGGAGGCUGAGAACUCAUGGCGCCAGCCGUGAGGGAGCCGAUGUUGGGAUACCACCCCUGCAGUACUGGGUUUCUAACCUGCGCCCGUGACCCGGGCGGGGGACAAUGUCAGGCGGGGAGUUUGACUGGGGCGGUCGCCUCCGAAAGGGUAUCGGAGGCGCUCAAAGGUCUCCUCAGGAUGGUUGGAAACCAUCCAGAGAGUGCAAAGGCAGAAGGAGGCUUGACUGCGACACCGACGGGUGGAGCAGGUACGAAAGUAGGACUUAGUGAUCCGGUGGCAUAAAGUGGGAUUGCCAUCGCUCAACGGAUAAAAGCUACCCUGGGAUAACAGGCUUAUCACUCCCAAGAGUUCACAUCGACGGAGUGGUUUGGCACCUUGAUGUCGGCUCAUCGCAUCCUGGAGCUGGAGCAGGUUCCAAGGGUUGGGCUGUUCGCCCAUUAAAGCGGUACGCGAGCUGGGUUCAGAACGUCGUGAGACAGUUCGGUCCCUAUCCGGCGCGGGCGCAGGAUAUCUGAGAGGAGCUGUCCUUAGUACGAGAGGACCGGGAUGGACCGUCCGCUGGUGGACCGGUUGUCAUGCCAAUGGCACGGCCGGGUAGCCAAGACGGGAAGGGAUAAACGCUGAAGGCAUCUAAGCGUGAAGCCCCCCUCAAGAUGAGAUAUCCAUACUCGAAAGAGUGAGAGACCCCUUAGAGACGAUGAGGUAGAUAGGGCAGGGAUGGAAGUGCAGCGAUGCAUGGAGUUGACUGUUACUAAUCGGUCGAAAGC
rnacentral:rRNA from 1 species